CUACGGGGUGCUCCAGGCGAGAAAACUUUGCAAUGUGCGAAAGCACGACAAGGUUAAUCCGAGUGGUUUGUGCUAAACGAACCUUUUGACAGUCCUAGAAACACUGUUGAAUAAGGGGUGGGCAAGUUCUGGUGUCAGCCGCCGCGGUAAAACCAGCACCUCAAGUGGUCAGGAUGAUUAUUGGGCCUAAAGCAUCCGUAGCCGGCUCUGUAAGUUUUCGGUUAAAUCUGUACGCUCAACGUACAGGCUGCCGGGAAUACUGCAGAGCUAGGGAGUGGGAGAGGUAGACGGUACUCGGUAGGAAGGGGUAAAAUCCUUUGAUCUAUUGAUGACCACCUGUGGCGAAGGCGGUCUACCAGAACACGUCCGACGGUGAGGGAUGAAAGCUGGGGGAGCAAACCGGAUUAGAUACCCUGGUAGUC
rnacentral:rRNA from 1 species